AGAGUUUGAUCCUGGCUCAGGACGAACGCUGGCGGCGUGCUUAACACAUGCAAGUCGAGCGGUAAGGCCCUUCGGGGUACACGAGCGGCGAACGGGUGAGUAACACGUGGGUGAUCUGCCUCGCACUCUGGGAUAAGCCUGGGAAACUGGGUCUAAUACCGGAUAUGACCUUACAUCGCAUGGUGUUUGGUGGAAAGAUUUAUCGGUGCGAGAUGGGCCCGCGGCCUAUCAGCUUGUUGGUGGGGUAAUGGCCUACCAAGGCGACGACGGGUAGCCGGCCUGAGAGGGCGACCGGCCACACUGGGACUGAGACACGGCCCAGACUCCUACGGGAGGCAGCAGUGGGGAAUAUUGCACAAUGGGCGAAAGCCUGAUGCAGCGACGCCGCGUGAGGGAUGACGGCCUUCGGGUUGUAAACCUCUUUCGACAGGGACGAAGCGCAAGUGACGGUACCUGUAGAAGAAGCACCGGCCAACUACGUGCCAGCAGCCGCGGUAAUACGUAGGGUGCGAGCGUUGUCCGGAAUUACUGGGCGUAAAGAGCUUGUAGGCGGCUUGUCGCGUCGAUCGUGAAAACUUGGGGCUCAACCCCAAGCUUGCGGUCGAUACGGGCAGGCUUGAGUACUUCAGGGGAGACUGGAAUUCCUGGUGUAGCGGUGAAAUGCGCAGAUAUCAGGAGGAACACCGGUGGCGAAGGCGGGUCUCUGGGAAGUAACUGACGCUGAGAAGCGAAAGCGUGGGUAGCGAACAGGAUUAGAUACCC
rnacentral:rRNA from 1 species